UGUUAAAAAAUUCAUCCAUCUAGACCAUUAAAAAUGACGUGAUUGAUAGAAUAAUUAGAUAAUAACAUAUGACUACGUGUAUCUCAUGUUGGCAUACAAUGAUAAGUUUUUUAACAGUAGAAAUAGAUGGAAUUUUUAAUA
rnacentral:pre_miRNA from 1 species